UAGGGAAUCUUCCACAAUGGACGCAAGUCUGAUGGAGCAACGCCGCGUGAGUGAAGAAGGUUUUCGGACCGUAAAGCUCUGUUGUUGGUGAAGAAGGAUAGAGGUAGUAACUGGCCUUUAUUUGACGGUAAUCAACCAGAAAGUCACGGCUAACUACGUGCCAGCAGCCGCGGUAAUACGUAGGUGGCAAGCGUUGUCCGGAUUUAUUGGGCGUAAAGCGAGCGCAGGCGGAAGAAUAAGUCUGAUGUGAAAGCCCUCGGCUUAACCGAGGAAUUGCAUCAGAAACUGUUUUUCUUGAGUGCAGAAGAGGAGAGUAGAACUCCAUGUGUAGCGGUGGAAUGCGUAGAUAUAUGGAAGAAUACCAGUGGCGAAGGCGGCUCUCUGGUCUGCAACUGACGCUGAGGCUCGAAAGCAUGGGUAGCGAACAGGAUUAGAUACCCUGGUAGUCCAUGCCGUAAACGAUGAGUGCUAAGUGUUGGGAGGCUUCCGCCUCUCAGUGCUGCAGCUAACGCAUUAAGCACUCCGCCUGGGGGAGUACGACCGCAAGGUUGAAAC
rnacentral:rRNA from 1 species